AAAAAUGUCAACAUGUUUAAAAUAUAGUUAAAGUGUUAAAAAAAAAGCUAAUCAUGAGCUAUAUCUUCAGAUAUGUGUGCAUGCAUAUUAUUUAGAGGUAGAGUGGUGCAACGUGUCACCCACUUAAUCUAACAAACUGUGCAAAGUGAUAAUAUUUUAUUCUUUCUCCUCACAGUCACUCUCAGCGUCCUAUUUCCAUCUGGAAUUAAUGACCACAUUAAUCUGGUCUCUCUGUUACUCAUCACCCAUAAUUCCCUGCUGUGACCUCUAUGACCCUCACCUCCUCUUGUGUCUGUCCUCUUCUCCUCCUCAUCCUCUUUUCCUGCAGCAUUCACCUCUGAAUGACUUGAGGCUCUGGCAGGGUGACAGCCCCUGUCUGUCUCUCCCGGACCAGCCUGAACCAACACCAACCUAAUCUCCGGGAUCACCUUUCCCCAUGGGGACACAAGUGUGGAUCAGUGGGACAGAGCUCCAGGAAUCUCCUCUUUUAAUUUGGGGAUGAGACUCAUGCUGAAUGAGCACCAUGGUCUAAGAAGAAAAGAAAUAUUGUCCACAAGGAGAGCAUGAUGCUGAACAGAGUGCAGAACAGAUGCACCUUCAUUACAAUGUCAGCGAGUUCCUAUCACUGACUGAGGAGCACGUUGGGACAAUGUCUAGACAAGCUUACAAAGGAUGCAGUGUGGAGGAGGAAACUGUGCUGCUUUCUGUGAAUGAGACUCAGCUUCACAAGAUGAAUGUAGGAAAUGGGAUGGUUGGGCCUGGUGGAGUAAGAUAUGGCAAUGUUGGUGUUAGAAGCUGUGUGUAAAGAUGAGUGUGAUAAAGCUUUAUUUUCAAUAGUUGCAAUGGCAGUGCUCUCGAGUAAAUGAUGUAUGAAGCUUUGGCGGAGACUUCAAAAUUCCAUCAAAACAGGAAGUGGAAAAAUAUGU
ensembl:lncRNA